AGAGUUUGAUCAUGGCUCAGAACGAACGCUGGCGGCGUGGCUAAGGCAUGCAAGUCGAACGGACAUAGCUUGAGGGCAACUGAUGGCUAUGUUAGUGGCGAACGGGUGAGGAAUACAUGGAUAACGUACCCCAGACUCAGGGAUAGCGUUGCGAAAGUGACGGUAAUACCUGAUGACCCCGUAGGAUCACAUGAUCCCGCGGGCAAAGCUCCGACGGUCUGGGAGCGAUUCAUGUCCUAUCAGCUAGUUGGUGAGGUAACGGCUCACCAAGGCUACGACGGGUACCGGGCGUGAGAGCGCGACCCGGCACAUCGGAACUGAGACACGGUCCGGACACCUACGGGUGGCUGCAGCAACGAAUAUUCCGCAAUGGACGAAAGUCUGACGGAGCGACGCCGCGUGCAGGAUGAAGUCCCUCGGGAUGUAAACUGCUGUCAGGGGUUAGGAAUUACUGACCAGCCCCAGAGGAAGCCACGGCUAACUCCGUGCCAGCAGCCGCG
rnacentral:rRNA from 1 species